AGACCCGAAACCCGGUGAUCUAGCCAUGGGCAGGUUGAAGGUUGGGUAACACUAACUGGAGGACCGAACCGACUAAUGUUGAAAAAUUAGCGGAUGACCUGUGGCUGGGGGUGAAAGGCCAAUCAAACCGGGAGAUAGCUGGUUCUCCCCGAAAGCUAUUUAGGUAGCGCCUCGUGAAUUCAUCUCCGGGGGUAGAGCACUGUUUCGGCUAGGGGGCCAUCCCGGCUUACCAACCCGAUGCAAACUGCGAAUACCGGAGAAUGUUAUCACGGGAGACACACGGCGGGUGCUAACGUCCGUCGUGAAGAGGGAAACAACCCAGACCGCCAGCUAAGGUCCCAAAGUCAUGGUUAAGUGGGAAACGAUGUGGGAAGGCCCAGACAGCCAGGAUGUUGGCUUAGAAGCAGCCAUCAUUUAAAGAAAGCGUAAUAGCUCACUGGUCGAGUCGGCCUGCGCGGAAGAUGUAACGGGGCUAAACCAUGCACCGAAGCUGCGGCAGCGAACGUAUCACUUAAAGCGAUUCAGCGGGUUACGAUUGACGGAGCGAAGCGACGUCAAAGCGUAUACAAAGUCGAGUCGGUUUAAGGAUACGUUCGUUGGGUAGGGGAGCGUUCUGUAAGCCUGCGAAGGUGGCCUGUGAGGGUUGCUGGAGGUAUCAGAAGUGCGAAUGCUGACAUAAGUAACGAUAAAGCGGGUGAAAAGCCCGCUCGCCGGAAGACCAAGGGUUCCUGUCCAACGUUAAUCGGGGCAGGGUGAGUCGACCCCUAAGGCGAGGCCGAAAGGCGUAGUCGAUGGGAAACGGGUUAAUAUUCCCGUACUUGGUGUUACUGCGAAGGGGGGACGGAGAAGGCUAUGUUGGCCGGGCGACGGUUGUCCCGGUUUAAGCGUGUAGGUGUGUGUUCCAGGUAAAUCCGGUUCACUUUAACACUGAGGCGUGAUGACGAGGCACUACGGUGCUGAAGCAACAAAUGCCCUGCUUCCAGGAAAAGCCUCUAAGCAUCAGGUAACAUCAAAUCGUACCCCAAACCGACACAGGUGGUCAGGUAGAGAAUACCAAGGCGCUUGAGAGAACUCGGGUGAAGGAACUAGGCAAAAUGGUGCCGUAACUUCGGGAGAAGGCACGCUGACACGUAGGUGAAGUGAUUUACUCAUGGAGCUGAAGUCAGUCGAAGAUACCAGCUGGCUGCAACUGUUUAUUAAAAACACAGCACUGUGCAAACACGAAAGUGGACGUAUACGGUGUGACGCCUGCCCGGUGCCGGAAGGUUAAUUGAUGGGGUCAGCGCAAGCGAAGCUCCUGAUCGAAGCCCCGGUAAACGGCGGCCGUAACUAUAACGGUCCUAAGGUAGCGAAAUUCCUUGUCGGGUAAGUUCCGACCUGCACGAAUGGCGUAAUGAUGGCCAGGCUGUCUCCACCCGAGACUCAGUGAAAUUGAACUCGCUGUGAAGAUGCAGUGUACCCGCGGCAAGACGGAAAGACCCCGUGAACCUUUACUAUAGCUUGACACUGAACAUUGAGCCUUGAUGUGUAGGAUAGGUGGGAGGCUUUGAAGUGUGGACGCCAGUCUGCAUGGAGCCGACCUUGAAAUACCACCCUUUAAUGUUUGAUGUUCUAACGUGGACCCGUAAUCCGGGUUGCGGACAGUGUCUGGUGGGUAGUUUGACUGGGGCGGUCUCCUCCUAAAGAGUAACGGAGGAGCACGAAGGUUGGCUAAUCCUGGUCGGACAUCAGGAGGUUAGUGCAAUGGCAUAAGCCAGCUUGACUGCGAGCGUGACGGCGCGAGCAGGUGCGAAAGCAGGUCAUAGUGAUCCGGUGGUUCUGAAUGGAAGGGCCAUCGCUCAACGGAUAAAAGGUACUCCGGGGAUAACAGGCUGAUACCGCCCAAGAGUUCAUAUCGACGGCGGUGUUUGGCACCUCGAUGUCGGCUCAUCACAUCCUGGGGCUGAAGUAGGUCCCAAGGGUAUGGCUGUUCGCCAUUUAAAGUGGUACGCGAGCUGGGUUUAGAACGUCGUGAGACAGUUCGGUCCCUAUCUGCCGUGGGCGCUGGAGAACUGAGGGGGGCUGCUCCUAGUACGAGAGGACCGGAGUGGACGCAUCACUGGUGUUCGGGUUGUCAUGCCAAUGGCACUGCCCGGUAGCUAAAUGCGGAAGAGAUAAGUGCUGAAAGCAUCUAAGCACGAAACUUGCCCCGA
rnacentral:rRNA from 1 species